ACUCCAAAAAGACCCCCCUCUUUAUAAGAAAUCAUCAGCUGCUGACCCCAAUCUCCUUCACCAAAAAUCAACGAAAAAUAAAAGCUUUUCUUCUCCAACACCAAUCUCACACCAUCGACUAACACCCACAGAUUUGUUUUCCAGCCAUCGCCACCCCCGCCGUUCUUCUUCAUCGUUGACAACCUAAGACCACACCUACCAUCUUCUUCUUCAGUAGAAGAAGCAACGCCGAUCCCUGAACUUAAAACCCCAGCAGCGUUCCGCUCCUCCUCAGCCGCCGGAACCCUAGUUCCCCUUAAAAAAAUUUCCAUCGCCACCGUAACUCUGAUCUCUCACCUAAGAGCCGACCUUACAUAGACAUGGAAGAAAAUAGAGCAACAACUCUUGGAGGCUAGGGGAAACAGCCAGAAUUUAAAUUGAAAGAGAAAUAGAGGGAUACGGACAGAGGAGGCUUCGUUCUCAGUGUUUGGAUUUUCCGUACAGAUGGUGAGAAGGCGUGCACCAGAUGUACCCGGCGAUGGGUGAGCUACACCCCUUGUUGCUAGAGGCCGAGGCAGGGCUCCAGCUCUUGCUAGAGGAUAAAGGCAUCCUAGAGUUGCUCCUACUGUGCCACCAGUGGAUCCUAUGGAGGAUCCUAUUAUUGAGGAGCAUGGAGAGGUACCUACGGCUAAGCCAGCCCCAACGAAUUUUAUAUCCGCAUGAGGAUUCUAGAAGAACAUUGUUACAUCUCACAUUUUUGUACGUUAAAAUUUCGUCUUCAGUUAAUUGACAUAGACUGGGGGAUGGGAUUAUCUUGA